AUUGAACGCUGGCGGAAUGCUUUACACAUGCAAGUCGAACGGUAGAGGGGGCAACCCCUUGAGAGUGGCGAACGGGUGAGUAAUAUAUCGGAACGUGCCCAGUCGUGGGGAUAACGUAGCGAAAGUUACGCUAAUACCGCAUACGAUCUAAGGAUGAAAGCGGGGGAUCGCAAGACCUCGCGCGAUUGGAGCGGCCGAUAUCAGAUUAGGUAGUUGGUGAGGUAAAGGCUCACCAAGCCAACGAUCUGUAGCUGGUCUGAGAGGACGACCAGCCACACUGGAACUGAGACACGGUCCAGACUCCUACGGGAGGCAGCAGUGGGGAAUUUUGGACAAUGGGCGCAAGCCUGAUCCAGCAAUGCCGCGUGCAGGAUGAAGGCCUCGGUU
rnacentral:rRNA from 1 species